rnacentral:rRNA from 1 species
UGGGGAAUAUUGCACAAUGGGGGAAACCCUGAUGCAGCGACGCCGCGUGAACGAAGAAGGUAUUCGUAUCGUAAAGUUCUGUCCUAUGGGAAGAUAAUGACAGUACCAUAGAAGAAAGCUCCGGCUAAAUACGUGCCAGCAGCCGCGGUAAUACGUAUGGAGCGAGCGUUGUCCGGAUUAUUGGGCGUAAAGGGUACGCAGGCGGUUUAAUAAGUCGAAUGUUAAAGAUCGGGGCUCAACCCCGCAAAGCAUUGGAAACUGAUAAACGUGAGUAGUGGAGAGGAAAGUGGAAUUCCUAGUGUAGUGGUGAAAUACGUAGAUAUUAGGAGGAAUACCAGUAGCGAAGGCGACUUUCUGGACACAAACUGACGCUGAGGUACGAAAGCGUGGGGAGCAAACAGG